rnacentral:rRNA from 1 species
UAUCCUAAGAACCUUUUAGAGAUAAGAGGGUGCUAGCUUGCUAGAACUUAGAGACAGGUGCUGCACGGCUGUCGUCAGCUCGUGUCGUGAGAUGUUGGGUUAAGUCCCGCAACGAGCGCAACCCACGUAUUUAGUUGCUAACGGUUCGGCCGAGCACUCUAAAUAGACUGCCUUCGUAAGGAGGAGGAAGGUGUGGACGACGUCAAGUCAUCAUGGCCCUUAUGCCCAGGGCGACACACGUGCUACAAUGGCAUAUACAAUGAGACGCAAUACCGCGAGGUGGAGCAAAUCUAUAAAAUAUGUCCCAGUUCGGAUUGUUCUCUGCAACUCGAGAGCAUGAAGCCGGAAUCGCUAGUAAUCGUAGAUCAGCCAUGCUACGGUGAAUACGUUCCCGGGUCUUGUACUCACCGCCCGUCACACCAUGGGAGUUGAUUUCACUCGAAGCCGGAAUACUAAACUAGUUACCGUCCACAGUGGAAUCAGCGACUGGGGUGAAGUCGUAACAAGGUAACCGUAGGAGAACCUGCGGUUGGAUCACCUCCUUUCUAG